rnacentral:rRNA from 1 species
GAUGAACGCUGGCGGCGUGCCUAAUACAUGCAAGUCGAGCGAACAGACGAGGAGCUUGCUCCUCUGACGUUAGCGGCGGACGGGUGAGUAACACGUGGUUAACCUACCUAUAAGACUGGGAUAACUUCGGGAAACCGGAGCUAAUACCGGAUAAUAUAUUGAACCGCAUGGUUCAAUAGUGAAAGACGGUUUUGCUGUCACUUAUAGAUGGAUCCGCGCCGCAUUAGCUAGUUGGUAAGGUAACGGCUUACCAAGGCAACGAUGCGUAGCCGACCUGAGAGGGUGAUCGGCCACACUGGAACUGAGACACGGUCCAGACUCCUACGGGAGGCAGCAGUAGGGAAUCUUCCGCAAUGGGCGAAGGCCUGACGGAGCAACGCCGCGUGAGUGAUGAAGGUCUUCGGAUCGUAAAACUCUGUUAUUAGGGAAGAACAAAUGUGUAAGUAACUAUGCACGUCUUGACGGUACCUAAUCAGAAAGCCACGGCUAACUACGUG